AGUGAACGCUGGCGGUAGGCCUAACACAUGCAAGUCGAACGGCAGCACAGUAAGAGCUUGCUCUUACGGGUGGCGAGUGGCGGACGGGUGAGGAAUACAUCGGAAUCUACUUUUUCGUGGGGGAUAACGUAGGGAAACUUACGCUAAUACCGCAUACGACCUACGGGUGAAAGCAGGGGAUCUUCGGACCUUGCGCGAUUGAAUGAGCCGAUGUCGGAUUAGCUAGUUGGCGGGGUAAAGGCCCACCAAGGCGACGCUCCGUAGCUGGUCUGAGAGGAUGAUCAGCCACACUGGAACUGAGACACGGUCCAGACUCCUACGGGAGGCAGCAGUGGGGAAUAUUGGACAAUGGGCGCAAGCCUGAUCCAGCCAUACCGCGUGGGUGAAGAAGGCCUUCGGGUUGUAAAGCCCUUUUGUUGGGAAAGAAAAGCAGCAGGUUAAUACCCCGCCGUUCUGACGGUACCCAAAGAAUAAGCACCGGCUAACUUCGUG
rnacentral:rRNA from 1 species